rfam:Aureimonas altamirensis strain ON-56566 NODE_10, whole genome shotgun sequence.
GGUCCCAUAGCUCAGCAGGAUAGAGCACCAGAUUCCUAAUCUGGGGGUCGUUGGUUCGAAUCCAACUGGGAUCA